UACGUAGAAGACUAGUGUUAUUCAUCUUUAAUAGGUUUAAAGGGUACCUAGACGGUAUAAUUAGUCUUUAACAGGAAACGGUUAUACUAGAGUUAUAUAUGAGGAGGUGAGUAUUUGUGGAGUAGAGUUGAAAUUCUUUGAUACCAUGAAGACUGGUAAAGGCGAAAGCAACCUUUUAUCUAAUAACUGACGUUGAGGGACGAAGGCUCGGUCGCGAACAGG
rnacentral:rRNA from 1 species